UCCAGAACCAGAACUGCGAAUCAAGG
rnacentral:piRNA from 1 species